AAGGCUUUAAGUUAAGGGAAACUUAUAACCUUCAAAGUUCUACAUAAAGAUAAUUCUUUAAGUCUUA
rnacentral:tRNA from 1 species